CCUACCCACGUGUGCGAGGCCAGUCACAUAGGCAAAGGGAGCAGCUUCCCCCCUCCUUUUGGAAUGUAUACAGCUCAGGUUACACCUCAAGGUUACCUGAAGCAAAUGGGGGCAGCGGUGCCUGUCCUCUGCAGUGACCAUGGUAACCAAAUGGUCAAAAACCCUCUUUUAUUAUACUUGUCCAAAUCAGGCUUCCAACUUCACAACCUGUUCUUUUUAAAGUUUUACAACUUUUUUUUUUAUAGGUCACUUCAUAGCUUAAUUCCUAGUUAAUUGAAUCAUCACUUUAUUGUCUGUGUCUGGUAGAUCCACUUUUCUUUACACAGACUAUUAAAUAUCGUAAAUUUGGGUAGUAUCAUCUUGUGGUUAGUCCUUUCUCCUUAUGCUUUACAUAAAUAGAAUUAUUUAGUAUUGUGUAUGAUCUUGGAGCCCUCGUUUGUUAAAAAUUUCUUCUUCAAUUAGUCAUGCAUGAAGUCUUCCCUAGUUACUGUACAAAAUAUACAGUUCUGCUUUCUUCCCUCUUCAAGCCUUCACCUGAAAGCAAACAUAACAAAAAGAGAAAAUAUGAAUUCCAUGCUGUCUUCCUUUUCAGAUUCAUAAACCCUUCUACCACUUCCAUGCUGUGGUUCAGUCCACCAUAACUCCUUCCCUUGUAUCUCACUGAAAGCCACCUAAAGAACUGUACAUGGUACCAUGUCCUACCAUGUACAGUAGCAACGGUGGUACAGGUACAUUGUUUGAUGUUUUUUUGGCCCCGAGAUGAACGGUCAGGUAAGAAGUGGGUUCUCUUUGUUGGUUGCAAGGUAGUUAGUUGAAAACAGCUUAACUGAAAGAAAGGUAAGCUACCAUGUCGUAGCUUUCUUUUUGUAUGGAUGAUCCAAGCCUGACCACAGAGCAUCUGAAUUGCUGCUGCAAAUCCCCAUCCUUGUUUACAAACAGUAGUCUGUGUGCCCAUGCCAUUAGAAAUUAGUAAAGGUAAUUAAGUACUGAAACAACCAACUGGUUAACACGGGAUGUCUUUAUAGAAGAUAUUCUUUAGUCAAACACAAGCUAUUGUGCUUAAUACAGCUGUAACAGCAAGAAAUUCUGUUAUGUAGGAGAUCUGACUGAAUGAUCUAAUAGCUAUUCCCGGUGUUAAGAUUCUAAGACUCUAUUAAGAUUUGAAGGGCUGAUACGAUUCAUAAAACUAUUGCCAAGAAAUCAGGUAACUGUUUUGAAAAAAAAAUAUUGGGGGCUACAGAUACAGCCUUUAAAAUUUCCCUUAACCAAAAGUCCAGCUAGAUGGUUCCUUUUAGUUUCCAUGCUGGUUUAUUUCAGCAUAUUUAUGAGUCAAGUUAUAUAAGGAAAAGGGCUAGAAAUUUAAAUAUGUUUUUAAAGAGAACCAAGGUUCCCUUUAGCACUUUCAGAAACAGGCUCUGUGAAACAGUCUUGAGUUCCUGCCAGCUCAAUACUGACUUUGUCCGGUGCUGAUGUCUGUCAAGAGAAGUGGUCUGUAGACUCAGGAUGUUUUCCUAAGAAGAUUUAUGUCUAGAGUGGCGUCAGAGGUUAAUCAGGUUAUGGGCAAAGGGUAACAAACAUAAGAAUU